CUCAGGGUCAGGCAGCAUCUCUGGAGAAAAAGGAACAGUUGCAGAGAAUCCCCAAAAUAAUCUCUGGGUGUGGUUGAUGACGUGGGUUUACAGAAACCACAGGCAGUUCACUCUACAACACAACGUGCUUGAGUAACUAAACGAGAUCAGGCAGCAUUUGAACGUUGUCAUUCAAACAACGCCUGGAAGGUGCCAAGGCAAAGACAAGCGCCCGUGCCGCACUGAUACGCCAGCUAGCCGGCACCACAUGGGGAGCCUCGACGAA